rnacentral:rRNA from 1 species
UACAGAGGUGGCAAGCGUUGUUCGGAAUUACUGGGCGUAAAGGGCGCGUAGGCGGCCUUCUAAGUCAGACGUGAAAUCCCCCCGGCUUAACCUGGGAACUGCGUCUGAUACUGGGAGGCUAGAGUGCGGGAGAGGGAUGCGGAAUUCCAGGUGUAGCGGUGAAAUGCGUAGAUAUCUGGAGGAACACCGGUGGCGAAGGCGGCAUCCUGGACCGACACUGACGCUGAGGCGCGAAAAGCUAGGGUAGCAAACGGG